GGGUGCGAUCAUACCCGCACUAAUGCACCGGA
rnacentral:rRNA from 1 species